AGUGAACGCUGGCGGUAGGCCUAACACAUGCAAGUCGAACGGCAGCACAGUAAGAGCUUGCUCUUACGGGUGGCGAGUGGCGGACGGGUGAGGAAUACAUCGGAAUCUACUUUUUCGUGGGGGAUAACGUAGGGAAACUUACGCUAAUACCGCAUACGACCUACGGGUGAAAGCAGGGGAUCUUCGGACCUUGCGCGAUUGAAUGAGCCGAUGUCGGAUUAGCUAGUUGGCGGGGUAAAGGCCCACCAAGGCGACGAUCCGUAGCUGGUCUGAGAGGAUGAUCAGCCACACUGGAACUGAGACACGGUCCAGACUCCUACGGGAGGCAGCAGUGGGGAAUAUUGGACAAAGGGCGCAAGCCUGAUCCAGCCAUACCGCGUGGGUGAAGAAGGCCUUCGGGUUGUAAAGCCCUUUUGUUGGGAAAGAAAAGCAGCAGGUUAAUACCCCGCUGUUCUGUCGGUACCCAAAGAAUAAGCACCGGCUAACUUCGUG
rnacentral:rRNA from 1 species